UACAGAGGUCUCAAGCGUUGUUCGGAUUCAUUGGGCGUAAGGGGGCGUAGGCGGCGCGGUAAGGCGGGUGUGAAAUCUCGGAGCUUAACUCCGAAACUGCAUUCGAUACUGCCGUGCUUGAGGACUGGAGAGGAGACUGGAAUUUACGGUGUAGCGGUGAAAUGCGUAGAUAUCGUAAGGAAGACCAGUGGCGAAGGCGGGUCUCUGGACAGUUCCUGACGCUGAGGCACGAAGGUCAGGGGAGCAAACGGG
rnacentral:rRNA from 1 species